CAAGCAAAAUUGAAAGCUUUCUUUCUUCUUUUUUUUCUUUUUUUUACAAGAAAAAAAAAGUUAGUAAGCUGUAUUCAUAAAAAAUCAAAGAAAUCAAAAAUUUUAGCAUUCAUGCCUUCCCCAGCAACGGUGCCAAAAAUUGAUAUUAUCAUGAUGUUGUCGUUAGGACAUCGUGAUUAUCAAAUUAAAUCCAACUUCAAUAAAAUAAAAAAUACAUAGAGAGUAGUGAGUCGGAAUGAAUUCAUAGAGAAGGUAAUACUUUGAUUUGAAAUCUUUAAUUUUAUAAAAAAAUUAAAAAACUAAUUUAAGUUAAAAAAUAAAAAUUAAAAGUAUAAAAAAUAAACUUAGUAUUAAGAUCUACUAUUUAGAUCCUAACUUUUACUUACAAUAAAAAUAAAAGAUA
rnacentral:lncRNA from 1 species